UGCCAGCCGCCGCGGUAAGACGGAGGGUGCGAACGUUGUUCGGAAUCACUGGGCAUAAAGCGCGCGUAGGCGGUCCACUAAGUCAGUUGUGAAAUCCCUCGGCUCAACCGAGGAACUGCAACUGAUACUGGUGGACUUGAGGAUGGUAGGGGUGAGCGGAACUCCAGGUGGAGCGGUGAGAUGCGUAGAUAUCUGGAGGAACACCGGUGGCGAAAGCGGCUCACUGGACCAUCACUGACACUGAGGUACGAAAGCGUGGGUAGCAAACAGGAUUAGAUA
rnacentral:rRNA from 1 species